AAGAGUGCAAAGAAAUCGGGUAAGUUCAUUGCUCCAGGAGUUUCUGAACGAACUUACUUUCAAGGUCGUACCGAGAUUAGAGCUUAUCACCGGUUGAUUACAUUCCACCUUAUCAGUGACGUUUGCUCAAGAAAUGAAAGGGUGUCAUACACUGCACCGUUAUUAUGGGUAUGUAGUACACUUCAUGGAAGCCCUGUGUCACGAUAAACAUUUACGUGCACCGCACACACUCAUGAUCAAUUUUUCACCAUACUACGAAUCCGUGACCAGACGGUAUUAAAUAACGACUCUCUAAGUCGUUUGCGUAUUCAUUUAUUCAGUCUCGUGAUAAUUAGACACGUGACGUGUCGUGGACACUGUUUUAUUGCUUUCCGAGGUGUUACUCCUCGCCGUCUGCUGAUCUCACAGACGCUCUAACGACACGUUUGGAAGAACUGUGUACCGGCCCGCUAAUUACUUAGAGCUCAAAAUGAUCAGCUUCUGCGACAUGUGGUUCGGUACUAAGGCACACCCGCUCUGGCAUAACGCUUAUCAACCUGUUACCGUUAUCAGACUGUUAAGAUGCCGUUUGUUAUUGCAGACAACCUGUUCCAACUAUAUGUAGGCAAUAUGUGUCGACAAUGACGGUGUUCAGGAAAUGAAAAUGGGGAAGAUGCGUCAAAUCACGUGGUCGAGUACAACGUGUUAUGGAAACUUACCUUCAAAUUUUUCGUACAACCGGAAGUCGAGCUUCUCUGGAACGAAUCUGGGCCUGUUGUUGGAUCUUCCUUCGACGGUGGCUCGGUCCAGGGUGAGGCUGGCCACUCGUCGCAGAACGUUGCUUUCAGUUGGUAGUGAUUCAUUAGCACUGUGACGUCGGGGUGAUGUUUCAGAUGUUGGUGUCGCGGCGUUGAGCGUCGAUCCUGAAAUCGUUACAGACGCCACGUGAGUCCUCCUGGACUUCCGUUUGUACCAGACCAUCUUGUCAAGUGGGAAUGGGAUAGAGAGGGAUGGAAAACGGGAUGCGAAUAUGAUAAACGCGGGAUGCACUAUCCGUUUUCUUCCUGUCAGUCGCAGUCCAAGUGUCGGUUCGCGAACACAAAUCAAGCAGCAUGACAAUGCUGGUUUCGAAUUCGCUUCUCUAUUGCUCAACAAUUCAGUUCCAUGGAAGACACAAAAGACACAGGAGACAACGAAAAAUUUACUAUGGGGCUUGUAGCACCGAGGAAACCGACGCGGUGCUACUCCAUCAAAGACCAACAAACGACUGAUGUGUCAAGGACUGUUUUUAUUUGCACAUCGUGACGACUAGGGAGGAUUAGGGUAAGCUGCGAAAAUUAAGCACACCUAUGAGAACUCGAAUCAGGCAACAUAAAUUAUAGCUUAAAAUACCGUCUGGCACGAGAACUUUUACUGAAGCAAGGCACCGUUUGCGUCGUACAUUACGUGGAGCGAGGUUACAGGUCACGAUAAGCAACAAGUGUGCUGUGUCCAUGAAUGACGGAACUGUUGGAUGAUAUUGGACUUGUUUUCAAUGCCCGAGCAAUAACGCGGCCAUAAUCGUAUCUUUGUUGGAGAUUUCCGCAAUAGUUAAACGAACAGUUUAAUUGAUUAAAAGCAACCUACAUCUGGAAAAAUGAA